AUAUUUUCUACCAAAUUAAAUUAGAAGACAAAAUUGUGCUCUCAUAGUUGCUCCAAAGAUUAAUAAUUAAAAAAUGUUUUAGCCUUUAGGCUACAGACUCCCGCCUGCCGCCAUGGCAGAGUUGGGCCUAAAUAGCACCAUCAAAAUGAAGUUAUUAAUUAUAUGCGAUUUGCUUGUUCAAAGAGGGGCUUGAGACUCAAAACUGUAGAUUCCUGCUUCCAAGACCUCAAGGAGAGCAGGCUGGUGGAGGAGACCUUCACCAUAGAUGAAGUCUCUGAAGUCCUGAGUGGCUUACAGGCUGUGGUUCACAGUGAGGUGGAGUCUGAGCUCAUCAAUACUGCCUACACCAAUGUGUCACUUCUGCGGCAGCUGUUUUCACAAGCUGAAAAGUGGUACCUUAAACUGCAGACAGACAUCUCUGAACUCGAAAACAGAGAAUUAUUAGAACAAAUUGCAGAAUUUGAAAAAGCAGAAUUCACAUCUUCAAAUAAAAAGCCUGUCAUAGAGACCAUAAAAGCCCCAACUUGUUCCACUUAAUGAAGGUGGAACAACAGAACUCCUAAACAAGGAAAUGUCAAGACUUCAAGAAGAGAAUGAGAAGUUAAAGUCAAGGCUGAAGACCAUAGAAUCACAGGCUACAAAUGCACUGGAUGAGAAAUCAAAACUAGAAAGAGCACUGCAAGAUUUAUAGCUCGAUCAAGGAAAUCAAAAGGAUUUUAUAAAGGCCCAAGACUUGAGUGACUUGGAAAACACAGUUGCUGCUUUAAAGAGUGAGUUUCAGAAGACACUUGAUGACAAGACAGAAAACCAGAAGUCACUGGAGGAGAAUCUGGCAACAGCCAAGCAUGAUCUACUCAGGGUUCAGGAGCAGCUGAGAAUGGCCGAAAAGGAAUUAGAGAAGAAAUUUCAACAAACAGCUGCUUCUCGAAACAUGAAAGAAAUUCUUACCAAGAAGAAUGACCAAAUCAAAGACCUACGGAAAAGACUGGCAAAAUAUGAACCUGAAGAUUAAAAACUGAAGAUGUCAUCUCAAAGCUGCCACAAUAUGAACAUAUAAGCUCUCUCACCUCAGGCAUGUAUUUUGAAGCAUUUUGUCAUAUUUCCUCUCCGUAUUUUUCUAAUAUUUGGAUUUUGCUUCUAAUAUUUAGCACUAGAGUUCUUACUUUCAGUUGUCUAAUUGAGAAUAGAGAAAACCCCGUGAUUCUGGCCGGUAGUCCCACACACCUGUCUG